GCGUGUGUGAAGAAGGCCUGCGGGUUGUAAAGCACUUUCAAUUGGGAAGAAAAGGCGAGGGUGAAUAGCCCUUGCACUUGACGUUACCUUUAGAAGAAGCACCGGCUAACUCCGUGCCAGCAGCCGCGGUAAUACGGAGGGUGCGAGCGUUAAUCGGAAUUACUGGGCGUAAAGCGCGCGUAGGCGGUUUGUUAAGUCAGAUGUGAAAGCCCUGGGCUCAACCUGGGAACUGCAUUUGAUACUGUCGGACUGGAGUAUGGUAGAGGGAAGUGGAAUUCCGGGUGUAGCGGUGAAAUGCGU
rnacentral:rRNA from 1 species